CUUUAGGGUUUUCUAGCAUCUUCAUGAUGGGUAUUGGAUGUGAAAUGAGAUUUACGCAAGUCCUCAAUUGUUUUGGCCAAUAGUAGUAGAGUUCAAUGUUAGUUUUGUCUUGGUUAAUGACCGACUGUGGAACAAUGGAAUUGGUUUGAUUUGAGUGUGGUUUUUGGAUGAACCGUUGUUGAGCAUGGCAUUUUUUCUCUUCCUUUUCGAUUUCAUUUGGUAUUAGAAUGGAGAGGUUAAUCAGAAAUUAUGGUGUGACAUUGUGGCAAAGUAAGCCCUGCUAUUUAUUGAAAUUCAGGACAAAAAAUUAAAAAUUUGUCUGCAUGCUUUUCUCAUGGUUUUACAAAUUUACUAAAGCAAAUAAUAAUGGGGUGUCUAUGUUGAAACAAUUCAUUUGAUUGUCAACUGAAUACUGAUAGAGAAACAUCAGGUUUUGAUGAGAUUCUAUGAUUGUUAUUUUACUGUAUUCUUGUAGGGGAAAAGUGGCAGAAGGUAUUGAUUUUGAAAGACAUUAUGGUAGACUUGUUAUCAUGUUUGGGGUCCCUUUUCAGUAUACAUUAAGCAGAGUAUUGAUUGCACGUUUGGAGUAUUAGAGGGAGACUUUCCAGAUAAAGGAAGGCGAUUUUCUGACUUUUGACGCUCUGAGACAAGCUGCUCAAUGUGUGGGGCGAGUUAUCCGUUCAAAGGCAGAUUAUGGGAUAAUGAUUUUCGCUGACAAAAGGUACAGCCGUCAUGACAAACGUUCUAAAUUGCCUGGAUGGAUACUGUCACAUUUACGUGAUGCUCACCUAAACUUGAGUACUGAUAUGGCUAUGCAUAUAGCACGAGAGUUUUUACGGAAGAUGGCACAACCC